rnacentral:rRNA from 1 species
ACUCAAAGGAAUUGACGGGGGCCCGCACAAGCAGUGGAGUAUGUGGUUUAAUUCGACGCAACGCGAAGAACCUUACCAGGGCUUGACAUCCUGCUAACGAGGCAGAGAUGCGUUAGGUGCCCUUCGGGGAAAGCAGAGACAGGUGGUGCAUGGUUGUCGUCAGCUCGUGUCGUGAGAUGUUGGGUUAAGUCCCGCAACGAGCGCAACCCUUACGGUUAGUUGCUACGCAAGAGCACUCUAGCCGGACUGCCGUUACAAAACGGAGGAAGGUGGGGACGACGUCAAAUCAUCAUGCCCCUUACGUCCUGGGCUACACACGUACUACAAUGGCGGACAUACAACGGGUAGCGACAUAGCGAUAUGAAGCCAAUCCCUUAAAAGCCGCCUCAGUUCGGAUCGCAGGCUGAAACCCGCCUGCGUGAAGUCGGAAUUGCUAGUAAUCGCGGAUCAGAAUGCCGCGGUGAAUACGUUCCCGGGCCUUGUACACACCGCCCGU